CUUAGCUUCCUGAGUAGUCAUUGACUUUCAAGUGGAAAUACUGUGGGAAUCAUCACCACAUAGUCAGUUUGGAGUUCCCAGGAUAGAAAAUAUACUGUAAUGCUAUAGGAGUUCAGGUGGCCCUGGCACUGUACGUCUCAAGCUAAGACUUAUGAAGAUGGGACACUUUAAGAUUGCAAGGAAAUUAGUACUUUCUUUAAGGAAUUGACCAGCUAAUUUAUAAAGCAUGUUGGAAAAGGAGCUGCGUGCACUGGUGGCACUUUCUCAUGUUGCGCACUGGAUUUUAUGAAGGUCUUUCCUCUCCUGAGCUCCAUGCUGCUUCCUCACAUCUGUUUCUGAGAAGAAAACAGCAGAACGCAAAUACUGUGAGACUUAAUGAAAACCACUUGGAGCCAUCGCGCUCUGAGUACACACAACCAACACCGGGCAACCCGCAGCACCCCUUGACAACAGCUCUGAUGAGAGGAGGAAUUACCAAUCCUGCCUGGAGAACAAUCACCGAUCAGAUCCUUGGAUCCAGACCUGCACCUGCUCCAAAUACAGACAUAGAGAUUGCAAACUGAGCACCAAGCCUGGACUUUGAACGGUCUUGAAAUGCAAUUUAAAGCAGUCUUUAGUCUAGCAUGAAUUGUAAUGGUCUUGUGUAGCCUUCAGAACCUUUCCAGCUGCCAGGGUUUGCUGCCAACAGCAAUGCUCUGACCCACACCUCACAAGAUAUGUGUCUGUGUACCUGGGAGUUGUCACCCGCGGCGCUUCUCCUGCAGGCAGAUCAAUGCCAGCCUGUUCCUCACAGAGUCUACACACUGGCAGGUCAUCAGCAAUAUUUACAACUAAAUGUAGGUCAGCAACAAACGGUAGAACAUGUAAAUCAAAUAUAGUGCGAGUAUUUGACUUCAAGAGUAUGGAUGCUAUGGAAAACGUGGUGGGUGGUGGUAGAUGGAUGUCUGUCAGGGUGCUUGAGAUGUUGGCACAUUUGUUUGCA